CAAUGAGAUUCCUAUAAUUUGAACAAAUAUAGUACUAUAUAAUUGAACAUGUAGUAAUUUGGCUUAAGUGGGUUUUGGUUGGGGCUUACAUGAUGUUGUUUUUGGCUUAAGUAGUUACUCUAUAUGAUGUUUGGCUUCUUUUUUUUUUGAUACUCUAUAGUUCAUCGAUAUUUAUAGUCUGCGUGAAUUUUGCACUAUAUAUUUGAAUAUAUUUAUAGUCUUAGGCUCCAUUUGGUCAUCACAUUGGUGUUUAUGAAUGUAAAUUUAUCUCAAACCAAAUGGAGCUUAAGCCCUUUUUUAACUCUGCCAAUGUAACUCCUUGCAUUACUGGUCCCAAGCCUGGGUAAAGGAGGAGGGAGAAGGGCUUCAAAGUGAGUUUUAUCAUUUUUUUUUCAUUUUUUGAAGCUUUUAUAAUUUUUGAGUUUAUUUUUGCUUGCAGGCUGGCAGAUUUGCUCGCAUAUGUUGGCGUAUGGCCUUACAAUUCUCAGAGGCACUUGUUGUCCUCAUGCAUGAUAUGGGUCCAAACUGGGAGCUGAUAAGUGAUGCUAUCAACAGUGCCCUGCAGUUCAAGUAUGAAGGUCUCAAACACCGAGUGUUUGAGUGUUCCUUGGCUGACCUUCAGGCUGAUGAGGAUCAGUCCUACAGGAUUUUACAACCGACAAAUUAAGAUCGCUGGUCUGUAAGUGGCAAACCUUGAUCGAGGUGCAUGUACAUGUGAAGACGAUAGACAACUACACCCUGAGAAUGCUUUGCAUUGGAUUCACCAA